rfam:Gossypium hirsutum cultivar TM-1 chromosome 5, whole genome shotgun sequence
UAUUAAAAAUUUCAUCUAUUUGUACUAUUAAAAAUUGAUAUGCCUAAUAAAAUAACCAGACAUUGACACGUGCCGUGCCACCUGUCAUGCGGACAUAUAGAUUACAGUUUUUAACGGGUGAAAUAGAUAAAUUUUUUAAUA